CCUACGGGUGGCAGCAGUGGGGAAUAUUGGGCAAUGGGCGCAAGCCUGACCCAGCAACGCCGCGUGCAGGAAGAAGGCCCUCGGGUUGUAAACUUCUUUUAUCAGGGACGAAGAAGUGACGGUACCUGAUGAAUAAGCCACGGCUAACUACGUGCCAGCAGCCGCGGUAAUACGUAGGUGGCAAGCGUUCUCCGGAUUUACUGGGUGUAAAGGGCGUGUAGGCGGGGAAGCAAGUCAGAUGUGAAAUGCCAGGGCUCAACGCUGGAACUGCUUUUGAAACUGUUUUUCUUGAGUGAAGGGGAGGCAGGCGGAAUGUCGUGGGUAGCGGUGAAAUGCGUAGAUAUA
rnacentral:rRNA from 1 species